UCACCUAACAUAGUUAACAGAUACUAUAUUCACAGUGAAUUCUCCGACUUAACCAUGGGGAACUAAUCAAAAACUUAGAUGUCACAUUCAUUUGUGCCAUCACUUAACUAUGAUCUUUAGUUUAUACAGAAAUUCUUUGUAUAAUUAUUUUGCUUUAUUUUGCUAGUGAAUUGUGAAAUUAAUUAGUGGACUCAGCAAAGAUCCAACAGUUAUUUUUACCAGUACUCAAAUCUGAUUCAGUUUUGUGUACACAUAAGGUAAACUAUCACACAAUAGUAAUGUGUAUACAAGUUUAUUCUACUCAAACUUGCUCAUUCUUAUUAAGUUUGCCAAAAAGGAUGCACUAAUAUAUUUUAUGGAACAUAUAAUAAAAUGGUCAUAUAAAAUCAUAGCCUUUUAGAGUUAAAAGGAACAUUCCACAAAAUAUAGUACAAUUUCUAAAACAGAAGAGCAGAACCAUCCCUGGUGUAUGUGGGACCCUGAGUAAAUAUUUUAUAGAGUGCCCAUAUAUGUCAAUAACUUGAUUAAACAUGUACUAGAAGAUUCAAGGAACCCUAAGAGUAGUAAUUUAUUAAUGAAAAUGGACAACAAUGAGUGGAGAAGAGUUAUUUAUGUUUUUAUUAUCAUGCAGUCAGUGGAUAUGAAGAUUCUACAUAAUGCCCAUCUCUUUCUCAUCUAGUCUAUAAAUUCUGUGUAUGUUCUAUAUUGUAACAUAUGCUGUUUCUACUUUCACAUCUCCCAACUUGAGAAAAAAGUAGAAACAAUUAUUACUCACAAUGCCAUAGCUUUAUAGAACCAAUUUCUAUUGAAAUCAUAUGGAAUCUUCUUGUUCCUGAAGUUCUCUAAUACCACAUAUUUAGUACUAAUCACCUCAUUUCUCAUAACUCUGUGUUAUCCAUUGUGCUAACCAUGACCAUGAGUGCAAAUGUUUUAUCCAGAUUAAACAAAAAAUUGUAAACAAUAAUUCACUGUUUGGUCAUAUUAAAUUUCCCACUUAGAAUUUUAUAAGGUAUAAACAUAGAAAAGUACAUCUAUCAAUAAUGAAUUCUCUUGAACUGUUUAGGUCUUGACCACUGCUUUCUUAGAAGAUGAUUUAUUUCAGUAUUGACAAUACCCCUGCUUUCCACACUCAACCAACAGCAGAAGGAUAGAAAAAAAAUCCUAUAGGUAGAACAAUAGGUAGUUUCAUUCACACAAAGAAUGCCUGUUCUUUAUCCAGGGUAGCUUAAGACUAACCUGGAAAAGCACAAUGUCAGCGCAUUGACUGGAUGCCGAGAAGACAACAAAUUGUAAGGUUUAAUUGUUUUUGAGGAGUAAAAGUCAUGAAAGUCUUUGGAAGAAAUAGGUUUUGCCACUAUGAGGGAAUAUGUCACAAACAAUGUACAGGUGAUUACCAUGAGUGACACUGACAGUGCAUGCACAGGGUAAAAAUUGCCUACUGCUUGAAUUGCUACUCUCAGUCGCUGUGCAGUGGAGGCUUCAUCAAAACUGGUACAUGAGUAAAUGAGAACUUACAUAUGAAGCCACACACAUGGUUAAGUGCAGCUUUUGAAAAUGGAACGCUUGUAAUCCUAAACUCAUCCUGUGUCUAUCAUGAGUGAAGAUCACUCAAAAAUCAGCAUGUUAGUUCUAUAUGGAAAACUCAAUCUCAUGCAGUGUGUGGAAGGAAAUGCCAUGCUUGUCAGUGGGAGCAAUCAACUUGCUAAUCUUGGACUCAAUUAUGGGACCCUUAGACACUAUACCUGUGUCAACUCUGGAGCUUAUUGGGGCAUCUGGUCAACCUCCGGCAUGGAGCUAUAGUUCAGAGAGCACUCAGAAGUAAAUUGGAAGGUGGGGCUCACAAGGUCCUGGUAUUGUUUAGGAGAAAUAUGUUGGACACUCUCAGCCCUGGCUGGUCCCAGUUAAUUGAGGAAGACUUCAAAUUUUCAAGAAAGGUGCUCCAAAUUGCAGUCCCAUCUGAGCACUUGUCUGGACAUAAGGGAAUUAGUAAACAAAAUCAAACUGUGCGUGGGUGAUGUGACCAAAGACCCCCUAAGGUCUGUGAGAGAACUGGUUCUACAUCUCAGGUCUUUUGACAUCUAGGGCUUGGAUUUUUCCAUGAAAGAUCCAAUAAUGAUUCAUUCCAUGAAUGCAGGGUUUGAAAAAAAUCUAAGAUUUAUUGUGUCAAUCUGAAAAAUUAAUUCCUACCUGUAACAUCUCCAGGAAGCAGACUUGUAUCUCAUACUUAGAUAUUUCCAGUUAUGGAAAACUUACCACCUACCAAAACAACACUUGCUCAUGAAAGAGUGUUCUAAGAAGGUGCUAUUAGCAAUUUGUGUUCCCAUGGCUUUUUGUUAGAUGUUUCUUCAAAUACAUGAAAACAAUGUCUUUUUGUAAUCUAUUCUUUCCUAGGUUAAAUGUUUCUUUAGUGCUGUAUGACAUGCUCUUGAACCCUCUUGGAGUUCUGAUUUUUCUACUUUGUCAGUACUGCUUUUAAAAUAUGAGAGAGGUGGGCACAUGAUUUUCUUAAUAUACAGUUCUUAUCAUUAGUUAUCAUAACCAUUACCCUUAGUGACCUAAAGUAAACCAAAAGUAAACCUUUGAAUUAUUUAGUGUUUAACUCCCCUAAUAAAUCAUCAUUAUUUUCUAGAUGGAAUAUUAGUAAUUCAGAGCUCUAUCUCCCUGGCAACCUAUAUAAGGCAACUGACAAAGAAAUCAAAAAUAGGUUUGCUCUAGGUCUAAAAGAAAUACUUACUCAACAUUAUAUAGGAACUACAGAGACAACUAAAUGAGCAUGAAAUGACUUUGACAGAGGAAAAGGAAAAAAAUCAUACUCACUUAAUGUCCUGCUUAUAUCACGAAAAAGACUCUACCACUGGCACUCAUAUAAACCAGUUAUAUAAAAAAUAUUUUAAGGUUAAAAAACAUGAAUUUUGUCAAGCAGUGCCUGAAACAAUUAUGAAAUGAGCACAUAUGGCUUCUCAAGUCAUUUUCUUUUUAACAUCUGUGAAUUAAAUCCCAAGAGAGUUCACUCCAGGCAAAUAUGUUUUAAUACUGAAAUCAGACUCAAAAUAACCACAUUUCUCUCUGCGGGUCAUGGAAGAGUGGGUUGAAUGGGUUGAAAGUUAUUGGCUUCAUGCAGCUUUUUCCCUUCUGGUCUUUCGACCAAUGAGUCCUUUUUUGACAUGUCCUUCAUCAUGGCAAAAGAAGGUUAAAAAAUGAAGAAUUGUUCAUUGUGCUGAUCCCAACCAGCCUUUGGCAACCCAAGAGAGCCUAGAUAUUAACAAAACGUUAAAUAUUCUACACCAAAUUCUUAAAAUGAGUUACAACCUUCCCCAGCUCCUGUUGAACUCUACUGGAAGUUUGGUAGGCUGAAAUGUCUUUGAACGAAUGAAAAAAAGAAUUAUUUUGAAGUAGUUGGCCAUCAUUAUCUUGCCUAGUCUCUGUAGUUGCAUAUGAACUGAAGCAACAAAAUAAUUACAAUUAAUUAUAAUUACAAAAUAAUUACAACUCUUUGAGUCAGAAUGUCUGGGUUCAGAUUCUAGUUUUACAUAAUAGCUCUUAUAACUUUGGGCAAGCUACAUAAAAGUAUUACUAUCUACCUAAUAAUAGUAAUUUGUAAUGCACUUUACAGUUCAGGAGGUAUAUUCAUAUCUGUUAUCUUUUUCAUCUUUUCAGUAACUGUUUCAGAUUGAUAAGGCAAUUUUUUUUUCCAUUCAAACUCUACUUACUGUGAAUAUAAUUUGGAUUAGGAUAUAAUGCAUUGGAAAAGGUGGACAAGGCCUGUGGUUUCAUAGAGACAUCAUUCUAUCAGAGAUACACGGAAAACAGGAUGUAGACAAAGUGAUGCAUGAGAUAAUUUCAGAUAAUAAUAAUUGUUAAGGAGCUAAUAAGGUUAGCGGCUGAGUUAGGUUUACACAGUGUAAUCAGUGAAGGCUUCCCAUGAAAAGAUGCUAUUUAAGAUGAGAAUGUGAAUAGUGAGAGAAAGACAAACAAUCGAUCUGGGUGGGGAAGUUUACAAGGAUUUUCCCAGGUAAAUGCUCUAACGAGUAAAGUAUAAAGUACAUUUCAAAACACACCAAAGUCAUCAAAGAUAUAUGUGUAAUUUCUCUUGUAUUAAUUAUUCUUCAAUAAAGCUUUUUUUUUUUUCUUUUUUAAGCUACCUGAAGGGUAGUGAGGUCAAGGAUAAUGGAGAGAGAGGCUGUAAGGGAGCCAUCCAGGACCAGACUCCCUCUGCGGUGUGUGCAGUGUAUGAGUUUAUAAUCUGUAAGAGCCCUUCCCAAGGUGACUCGAAAGCCAGGACAAGAGUGUAGAUUCUCUCACUGCAAAUAUAUUGCUCUUUGCCUUUAUAAGAUGCUUGCUUGAUAAACCAUACUGCUGGAUAGACUCCAGCAAAAUCACCUUGUUCCCUUUAGAAUAUCUUUCUUGAAAAAUAUUUAACUCUUCUCAUGACAUAGUAAUAUUAUUUUCAAUAGUUAUUGAGUAGUUCUGGUGUACUACUCAGCUAAACAUUAUAUGUUUCAAAGGUACCUGUUCUACCAAUAACACUGAGAAGAUAAUUAAAUUCUUUUUUUUUUUAAAGAGUUGUCUGUUGCUUAUUUGAAAUUCAAAAGUAACUGUUGUCCUCUAAGUUUAUUUGUUAAAUCUGGCAACUCUACUCAUUGUGCUCAUACGACUACAUGAAAGAACUGUCACUUACUUUGCUUUCAUUUGAAUUAAGUGCUAAACAUCUCUUAAUAAUAGACCUAGUUCCACUCUUAUCUAUAGUAGCAAGACUUUAAGUUCUUUUUUAAAAAUGAUAAAAUUUAGAUAUAAAAUAUUUAGAAACUAAGCUAAAGUAAUAUAAUUACUGAUAAGAUUAAUAAAGGAAUAUAGUAUCUGUAGUGGACAUGUUGAUGUAAAUUACCUUAAUUGGGAGAAUAUAAAUACAUUUCAUUAGACAUCACCCAAGCUCUUUAUUCAAACUUUCCUUUUAAGUAGUUAAGAGCUCCUAGGGGUAGAAUUUUAUGAUUGUUAUAAAGUUUGUUUAAGAAAAGCCCAAAAUGAAGCUGGUGUAUGGUUAACACAAAAGUACUUAGGCAAUGCUAUUGUUACCAGAAGGCUUAUGUUUAUUUCCAUUAACAGUAAAAAUGGCUGAGCAGAGAGUUGCCAUCGUGGCACAGCAGAAACAAAUCUGACUAGUAUCCAUGAGGAUGCCAGUUGGAUCCCCGACCUCACACAGUGGAUUGGGGACCUGGUGCUGCUGUGAGCUGUGGUGUAGGUCACAGACAUGGCUAAGAUCUUGCUUUGCUGUGGCUGUGGCAUAGGCCAGAAGCUAUAGCUCUGAUUCAACCCAUAGCCUGGGAACUUCCAUAUGAC
rnacentral:lncRNA from 1 species